rnacentral:rRNA from 1 species
UACGUAGGGGGCAAGCGUUGUCCGGAAUCAUUUGGCGUAAAGAGCGCGUAGGCGGUCCGGUAAGUCCGCUCUGAAAGUCCGGGGCUCAACCCCGGGAGGCGGGCGGAUACUGUCGGGCUAGAGUCCGGAAGAGGCGAGUGGAAUUCCUGGUGUAGCGGUGAAAUGCGCAGAUAUCAGGAGGAACACCAAUGGCGAAGGCAGCUCGCUGGGACGGUACUGACGCUGAGGCGCGAAAGCGUGGGGAGCAAACAGG